AGGUAAGCUACUAAGAGCGAAUGGUGGAUGCCUUGACUGGUAAAGGCGAUGAAGGACGUACUAGACUGCGAUAAGCUACGGGGAGCUGUCAAGAAGCUUUGAUCCGUAGAUUUCCGAAUGGGGCAACCCAAUGUAUAGAGAUAUACAUUACCUAUAUAGGAGCGAACGAGGGGAAUUGAAACAUCUUAGUACCCUCAGGAAAAGAAAUCAAUAGAGAUUGCGUCAGUAGCGGCGAGCGAAAGCGCAAGAGGGCAAACCCAGUGCUUGCACUGGGGGUUGUAGGACUGCAAUGUGCAAGAGGUGAGUUUAGCAGAACAUUCUGGAAAGUAUAGCCAUAGAGGGUGAUAGUCCCGUAUGCGAAAAACAAACCUUAGCUAGCAGUAUCCUGAGUAGGGCGGGACACGAGAAAUCCUGUCUGAAGCUGGGUCGACCACGAUCCAACCCUAAAUACUAAUACCAGAUCGAUAGUGCACAAGUACCGUGAGGGAAAGGUGAAAAGAACUGAGGUGAUCAGAGUGAAAUAGAACCUGAAACCAUUUGCUUACAAUCAUUCAGAGCCCUAUGUAGCAAUACAGGGUGAUGGACUGCCUUUUGCAUAAUGAGCCUGCGAGUUGUGGUGUCUGGCAAGGUUAAGCAAACGCGAAGCCGUAGCGAAAGCGAGUCUGAAUAGGGCGCUUAGUCAGAUGCUGCAGACCCGAAACGAAGUGAUCUAUCCAUGAGCAAGUUGAAGCUAGUGUAAGAACUAGUGGAGGACUGAACCCAUAGGCGUUGAAAAGCCCCGGGAUGACUUGUGGAUAGGGGUGAAAGGCCAAUCAAACUUCGUGAUAGCUGGUUCUCUCCGAAAUAUAUUUAGGUAUAGCGUUGUGUCGUAAUAUAAGGGGGUAGAGCACUGAAUGGGCUAGGGCAUACACCAAUGUACCAAACCCUAUCAAACUCCGAAUACCUUAUAUGUAAUCACAGCAGUCAGGCGGCGAGUGAUAAAAUCCGUCGUCAAGAGGGAAACAACCCAGACUACCAGCUAAGGUCCCUAAAUCUUACUUAAGUGGAAAACGAUGUGAAGUUACUUAAACAACCAGGAGGUUGGCUUAGAAGCAGCCAUCCUUUAAAGAAAGCGUAAUAGCUCACUGGUCUAGUGAUUUUGCGCGGAAAAUAUAACGGGGCUAAAGUAAGUACCGAAGCUGUAGACUUGCGCACAACUUAGAUUAUUUAAGUUUAGAAUAUGAGAAACUAAGUUAUAUGUUUAGUUAUAUUUUUACUGAUUUUUAUAGAGUAAAGAUAGAAAUAAAACUUAGUAAAAUCAGUAAAAAUAUUCUUAGACUAAAGUUAAGUAGUUUAAGUUGUGUGCAAGUGGUAGGAGAGCGUUCUAUUUGCGUCGAAGGUAUACCGGUAAGGAGUGCUGGAGCGAAUAGAAGUGAGCAUGCAGGCAUGAGUAGCGAUAAUUAAUGUGAGAAUCAUUAACGCCGUAAACCCAAGGUUUCCUACGCGAUGCUCGUCAUCGUAGGGUUAGUCGGGUCCUAAGUCGAGUCCGAAAGGGGUAGACGAUGGCAAAUUGGUUAAUAUUCCAAUACCAACAUUAGUGUGCGAUGGAAGGACGCUUAGGGCUAAGGGGGCUAGCGGAUGGAAGUGCUAGUCUAAGGUCGUAGGAGGUUAUACAGGCAAAUCCGUAUAACAAUACUCCGAGAACUGAAAGGCUUUUUGAAGUCUUCGGAUGGAUAGAAGAACCCCUGAUGCCAUCGAGCCAAGAAAAGUUUCUAAGUUUAGCUAAUGUUGCCCGUACCGUAAACCGACACAGGUGGGUGGGAUGAGUAUUCUAAGGCGCGUGGAAGAACUCUCUUUAAGGAACUCUGCAAAAUAGCACCGUAUCUUCGGUAUAAGGUGUGGUUCGCUUCGUAUUAGGAUUUACUCCGAAAGCGA
rnacentral:rRNA from 1 species